GUGGGGCUCGGGCCCCCUUAGCCUUCUACCUAGGUCCGUCCCUGCCUAGGAGAGCCCAAAUGGUGUAUGGAACAUGAAUCGAUGUUGUGGAGGUUAAAGGCUUCACAAAUCUGCCAAGAAUCGUGGCCGUGGUGACACGUGAGAUCACAUAUGGUGGCGCGUGAGCCCGUGAACAACACAGGUGACAGAGGCUAAGGUCUUGCAUUGCAAUCCUUGGAGCCGAUUACUGUACGAUCAUCGCUGAUGCUCGCACGUCUUCCGGUUACAAUAUUCUCACCCGCGAGUACUCCAAAAUCUGCAAAUUGUGAAACUGAAUUCGUGCCAAUCCCCACUUAAUAAUACUAUGUAGCAUUGAAACUGAAUUGAUGCAUUGAAGUACAAUGACCAGCCCCGUCAAGAUUAUGGAAUUGAGGUUAUGUACAGGUUUGCAAGAUUUGAUCCUUUUGAAAGGUCCACCUAUUUUGGGCCCUUCUUUGAUUUGCGACAGAUUCAGAGAUUCAACAGCUCAUAUAUGGACAACAGUAGAGCUACAGAUGGUAGCUCGAGAUCUACUUCUAAUGGUCCUUUGAACGUGCUGGUGCUGAAACAUGUUAAGGGUAGAACAAAUAAGAAGAGUAAAAAUGUCACCACACUUGAUUGGAAUGUGCUGGUGUUGAUUCUGAGGUUUCUGAGUCUGGUUCGGUUUACAGUAGAAGAAACAUUGCAAAUAAACGAAAGGGUAAAGGGAAGGAAACUGCGGAGCCUUUGAGUUGCCCUCCUGCAGUUAAAAUCGGGAAUGUUUGGAACAAGAUAAACAAAGAUGGAGAAAAGAGUCUACCGAAGGCUUGUACAGCACCUCCUAAAAAGAGGCAACAUCGUGUAAAUGUUUCAGAUUACGCCUUGCCGGAUGAAUUCAUAAAACAGCAGAGGGAUUACUUUGCAGAGAUUGAUGCAUUCGAGAUGGAAGAAGAGGAGGUUGAGUCACUGGAUCAGUUAGAGUAGAUGGAUGAGAGCUAUAUAUGGCUGAUCAUUUCAGAUGAGUAGUCAAGGAAAUCUAACCCCUUAACAUUCCCUGUAUAUAUAGGAUACCUUUGACAAAUUCUGGUGCAAUUACCAUCCUGUUCCCAAUUUUAUCCAUGUAACCAUGUACGUGCUAGUGCUAGAUAUCUUUCUUGAAUACUCUAAUGUACUGGAUUAUCAUAUUCUUUUAGUACUUGACGGUAGGGAUUUUUUUUCCCCUUAAAUCAGAGAAAACUACAGUGGUAGGUAGUAUUUUUGUGAUAGUGAUAUUCUGUGGACUACAAUAUCA